rnacentral:rRNA from 1 species
CACGUAGGCCGCUUUGUAAGUCAGGGGUGAAAUCCCACGGCUCAACCGUGGAACUGCCCUUGAAACUGCGAAGCUUGAAUCCUGGAGAGGGUGGCGGAAUUCCUGGUGUAGGAGUGAAAUCCGUAGAUAUCAGGAGGAACACCGGUGGCGAAGGCGGCCACCUGGACAGGUAUUGACGCUGAGGUGCGAAAGUGUGGGGAGCAAACA